UACAGAGGUCUCGAGCGUUAGGCGGAAUCACUGGGCUUAAAGCGUGUGUAGGUGGAUGCCUAAGUACCUUGUGAAAUCCCACGGCUUAACCGUGGAACUGCUUGGUAUACUGGGUGUCUUGAGUCACUCAGGGGCGAGCGGAACAAAUGGUGGAGCGGUGAAAUGCGUAGAUAUCAUUUGGAACGCCAAUGGUGAAAACAGCUCGCUGGGGGUGCACUGACACUGAGACACGAAAGCCAGGGGAGCGAAACGGG
rnacentral:rRNA from 1 species